rnacentral:antisense_RNA from 1 species
UCGUGCUCAACUUGUGGAGGAAGUCACGGCGCAUGUCCGUGAUUCUGGCGUAGGUGCGGGCCACCUUGAGGGCGGCUUUCCGACGAUUGUUGCCGCCUUUGGUUUUGCGGGACAACGCCCGUUGCUCCCGUUCCAACCGUUCGGCGAGUUUCCUGUAGUGGCGUGGGUUCGCUAUGGUCUCCCCGUCGCUGGUGACGGCGUAGCUGUCCACUCCCAAGUCGAUUCCGACGGCGUCCCCUCGGGCGGGGAGAGGACGGAUGGCCUCCUCCACGAGGAUGCUGACGUGCCAUCGUCCGGCGGCGUCCAAGCUUACGGUCACGGUGCUCGGCUCCGUCUUGCGGGGCAGUGUUCUGGACCAUCGUAUCGGCAAUGGUCCGCGCAUCUUGGCGAGUGUGAGUUCGUUGCGCUUGGCGUCCCAUGUGAACGCGCUUCGAGUGUAUUCGGCGCUUCCGCCGUGGGAUUUUGCCUUGAAUCUCGGAUAGUCGCCGGUCUGCUUGAAGAAGUUGGAGAACGCCGUCUGCAAGUGCCUCAACGCCUGUUGCAACGGCACGCAGGACACUUCGUUCAUGUACG